CAGCCGCCACGGGAAUACGUAGGGCGCAAGCGUUAUCCGGAAUUAUUGGGCGUAAAGAGCUCGUAGGCGGUUUGUCGCGUCUGCCGUGAAAGUCCGGGGCUCAACCCCGGAUCUGCGGUGGGUACGGGCAGACUAGAGUGAUGUAGGGGAGACUGGAAUUCCUGGUGUAGCGGUGAAAUGCGCAGAUAUCAGGAGGAACACCGAUGGCGAAGGCAGGUCUCUGGGCAUUAACUGACGCUGAGGAGCGAAAGCAUGGGGAGCGAACAGGAUUAGAUACCCGUGUAGUCCCUGUCUCUUAUAC
rnacentral:rRNA from 1 species